rnacentral:lncRNA from 1 species
GGGUGAUCUCUAAGAUCUCCUCCAGUCUGACCCAUUCUAUAAUUCUAUGAUCCUUUGGAAGGUAAGGUCGCCCAAAAGAACCAGUCAACACUUAAACACUUUUUCUGAGCUCAAGAUUGGUACACCCCUAAGAGUAAUACAUCAGGGAAUGGUGGAAGGAGAUCUGCAUGGAUGAGCAAGGAGCUCAAGGGGAAGAAAAAAGUCCAUGAGAUGUGGAAAAAGGGUCUGCCUACUUUGGAUGAACAUAGGAACGUCGUCAGGGCCUGCAGAGAUGCAACAAGGAAGGGUAAGGCCUACUUGGAAUUAGGUCUGGCAAAGGAUGUCAGGAUAACAAGAAAGGCUUUAUUAAGUUUGUCAGUGGUAAAAGGAGGACUGGGGAAAAUGUGGGCCCACUACUGAAUGGGGGUCUCCAGAGGCCCUUUCCAACCCCUAUGAUUCUGUGAUUCUGUGUAUAACAGCUCCAAAAAGCAGCCUUCCUGUUUCUGAAAUGAGACAAACAUCGAUGUAGGCCACGUAACAUACCAAGAACAACAGGAUGUUUUUCUGAAAGACAAAACCACGUCCCCAAUCAGCACAUCUCUGCUUAACCAGUGGUGUGAAACCAAGCGGCUUCCUUCAGAUGAGCACAAAUCAGAAAGCAGAAGGUGAAUGAGAGCUGCUGCUGAGGUCUCUGGGAGCUGUGUUGCAGAAGAGUGCGGUGUUGGUGUGGGUUUGGCUCAGCUCAGAGGAUGCUCCCCCCCAGGAGCAGUUGAACAAAUUGAACUCAGCACUGUGCUUUCUGCCCUGACUUCCCUGAGCUUUCUUCAGACAUGUCCUUUUUCAGCUGCCUCCAUCAGCAUCCUCAGCUAUCCACAGAAGAAACACCCCAGUCAGUCACUGACACGGCUCGGUGUAAUUCCCCACCUGAUGACUGAUAGUCUCCCGCUAACCUAAAAACACCACAUCCUCACCUCUGGCUUCAACAGAGUUUGGGGUGUGAAAAGUAGACAGCACAGUUCCAAAAUGGCAGCCAAUUGCA